rnacentral:lncRNA from 1 species
CUAAAAUUAAUUAGUAGAUUUUCAUCCAAAUUUGUGAAAAAAAUGGGGCGGGUGGGAGGAUUUUAUUUUUUAAAUUUUAUUUCAUAUGAAACCUUCUUGUUACGUGUUAUUCAUAUAUGCAAGUGUAAUAAUAAGCUUGUAUCAUGUAUAUACAUCCAUAAGGUAUCGUGUAUAAGACAAUAACAAUCAAAACCAAGGAGUAACCAAAGACUCAUAAAACAAAAAGACAUUUACAUCAACAGUUACAAAUAAUAAGUAGGAAACAACACGAACUCCACUAAAAACCAGGAGUGAAAUCAGGUGCUCCGGAAGGGUAAGCAUUUCCUGCACCGUAUAUGGCACCCAUCAUGUUAUUUCUUUGUUCAGUUCGGUAAUGAUGGAAGGUUGUUAUGACUGAGGAAGAAUAUCACUGAGAUAUGAUUUCUGACACUCUUUUGUCAUAAUGGCCAAUCAGCUCAUGAUGGUGACCAUAAAAUUGCUUCAGUAAUGACCUUAAUUUGAAUGAUUCAUAACCCUGUCUUAGCAACUUCUGAGAAAGCAGUAUUCCUUGUUCAACAAAAUUAACGUACUUUUAGCUAGCUCUAGAGUAACGUAUCAAUUGAGACACAUAUUCUCCAUAUGCUGGUGCCGCUUUUUCAAAUUCGUAAAUAUAUAUAUAUCUGAUUGGCAACCACUGUUCUACAUGUAAUUGCCACUUUAGAAACCUAUUUUAUAGUAAACAACAAAAAUGUGGAGAAAUGCUCUCUUAAGUUGGACUAUCUAUAUCAAAUGUAUUUUGCUUUCUAACAUGUCUAAGCAAUGUGUUUUUUGUCCUAAUAAAAUGAAGCAAAGGCAUUGGUAUGCAACACGAGUACGAUAAGUACGGAAUAAAAUGAAAACUCAAACAGUGUUGAAAUAAGGCCUAAAAAAAAAAGAUAUGUGUUUCCGGUAACAUCAUUUUGAAAAAUAGGGUCGGUAGGUCGGAAUUUUUUUUUUUUUUUUUUUUUUUUUUUUUGACAUCGUAAAUGAAAUCCGGAAAAUUAUCAUGGUUUUUCCAAGUCCGGAUCCGUAAUUAGUUUCAAAAACCGGAAGUGUGCCAUUUGCAAUGUUUUUGAAGCACCUGCUGUGCAAAUUUCUUGGAUUUUAACCUAUUUGGAAUACCUUUUGACAUUAAUAAAAUGUUUUACUGGCUUUCUAUGCAAGUAGAAGCAAGAAAGAAAAAAAUAUUAUGUCAUCUAUCAGAAGCCUGUGUCAAAAACGGGGUCGGUUGAUACAAUUUUUUUUUUUUUUUUUUGAAGAUCCAAUAAAAAAGUUAGGGUCGGGGCUAAAAAAACAGGGUCGGUCGGGUUACCGGAAACAUCGAUCUUUUUUUUCUCGGCCUAAUAGGGUUGGUCCUUAAUAUGCAACAUGCAAAUAUAAUUACAAUGCAGAACAUAAAGUUGUUUAAUGACUCUAUCAUGGGUAUUGGGACAGAGGAUAUUUGCUGUUUUUCUACAAAAAAGGAAAGGCAUGGAUAAAUCUAAAUCUAAGAGCUUGCUAUAAAUUAAUAAAUUAAAAAUUCGUAUGUUUGUCGAUUUUCUGAACUCAAAAUACGGUCACCAAUCUAUAAAAUUCAUGCUUGUGUCAAUUUCUGUAUUCCAGUCAAACGUGUUCCACGAUUCUUACGCUUUUGGAUUCAUUCACAAUCCAAAUUUCUUGACACAAAGUCAUUGUAUAAAUAAAAGAAAUCAAAGGUGUUUUUCUCACAAACAUUUGUGUCAUUUGUGACAUACUGCGAUUUGCGUUCUUGGACACAGCGUAUUACUCGUAACCCGAAU